UUAAUGAUUAGCGUUACAAGUGGGCUCUGACCGGUAAGCGGUCAUGGCGAAAUGGGAUGAACCAUACGUCUGAAUAAGGUGCCGAAAUGUACUAUCACUGAUACCAUAAAGGGAGUCCAUGUAUUUAGACAGCAGGUCGGUGCCCCUAAAAGCAGGUAUCCGCUAAAGAGUGUGUUAAAACUCACCUGCCGAAUACUAGGGCCCCGAAAAUGAAUGGCGCAUAUAGUACUACCGAUCUCAGACAUCAGUUCUAUUGAACUGAGAGUAGGGGGAUGUGGACAUUUUUGUGAAGGUGCAAUGUGAGUUGGACUGGAAGAAUGUCUAUUACAGAUCCUAAUUGAAGUAGCGAUUAUCCAGGCUUGUAUCCUGGGGGCUGAUGAGGAGUAGGGUUUCUGGACAACUUAAACAGAUCCAGAGUUAGUCGAUCCUAAUCUCAAUAAUGGGAGAAAGGGAGUACAGUUGAUAUUCUGUAACUGACAACAGUUCGCGGCAACGCAUACUAUUUUUCUCCGCCAAUCUUAUACCGUUGGUAGGGAUCUCUUUCCUACAUGACAGUACUAAUACCCAGGGAAACUGGUCAUCAGGCGAACUGCGGCGUUCUGCUGGCAAAACAUAGCUUCGGUUAUGUCAAUGGCUAUUGGAUUGGUCCAUGAAGCGAAAAAUAGUUUACUGUGUCACUCGUACCGAUAACCGCAUCAGGUCUUCUAGGUAAGUAGCCUAUGGCCAUUGAGGCAUGAUAGUUCAGGGAAUUCGGCCAAUUAGAGCUGUAACUUCGGGAUAAAGCUUGGCUCUGAUGAAAAUCAGAACCGAUUGUUACGCGGAGAGCCCAACUGUUUAAUAAAAACGUAGUGUCGCGCUGUGGUAGUAUAGCCAGUGAACGCGACAUGAAUCCUGCUCAGUGCUGUGUCUGUUAAUAUGGUU
rnacentral:ncRNA from 1 species